rnacentral:rRNA from 1 species
AUUGAACGCUGGCGGCAUGCCUUACACAUGCAAGUCGAACGGUAACAGGUCUUCGGAUGCUGACGAGUGGCGAACGGGUGAGUAAUACAUCGGAACGUGCCCGAUCGUGGGGGAUAACGGAGCGAAAGCUUUGCUAAUACCGCAUACGAUCUACGGAUGAAAGCAGGGGACCGCAAGGCCUUGCGCGGACGGAGCGGCCGAUGGCAGAUUAGGUAGUUGGUGGGAUAAAAGCUUACCAAGCCGACGAUCUGUGGGUGGUCUGAGAGGACGACCAGCCACACUGGGACUGAGACACGGCCCAGACUCCUCCGGGAGGCAGCAGUGGGGAAUUUUGGACAAUGGGCGAAAGCCGGAUCCAGCCAUGCCGCGUGCAGGAUGAAAGCAUUCGGGUUGUAAACUGCUUUUGUACGGAACGAAAAGCCACUUUCUAAUAGAGAGGUCAUGACGGUACCGUAAGAAUAAGCACCGGCUAACUACGUGCCAGCAGCCGCCGUAAAAC